rnacentral:lncRNA from 1 species
UUACUAGAAAGCGCACACCCUGUCGUUCCUCUCCUUAAUUGACCACGCUUUGAAGAAGUGCAUACAGGGUACCAGUGUUGAUUAUGAGCUUGUUGAUAUCACCCUUACGCGGGAUUCACGAUUCGCUGUGUCCAAAUAUAUGUUCACACCGUCAGCUACCACGACGGUUUAAUCAUGAUCAUGAGCGUUAGUCGUCGCGAUAGAGACAUGCUAGUAGGAAGGCGUCAACGUGGGUGCAUCCACGUGAAAUGGUG